GCCGCGCGCGGGCAAUCUCUUUGCGCGUGCGCUUGGCCGGCGGGCGGGAAGAAGCGUCGGGAAAGAGCAAUGGGGAAAGGAAAGGCGGUGAUGGGGACCGUGUGGGUUCAAACGGCUCUCGAGGCCUCGGUUUAACAUCACCUUCAGGACAGCCAGGGCCGCCCGCCCCCAAGUCUCCGGUUCCUGCGACUCCGAGGGAACUCGCCCCCAACACUCUGCUGACGAACUCGAGUCUCAGAGGCAGCCCAUUGUGAGGCCCCAGAACGGUGUCCCUACCCGAGUCUCUCUUCUCUCACCAGAUCGCUUCAUGGUCCAAGAGGGCUGCUGGAGUUCCAGCCAUAUUGCAGGCAGCAGUAGGAAGGAGAAAGGAUUUGCUCACUGUCUUUCAGAAACUAAUCAGAUGAUUCAGAAGGCUUUUGGAGA